rnacentral:rRNA from 1 species
AUGGAGUCGCUGCCGCGGAAGCGCAAGGGCGCGCGCUCCCUCGCCGGCUCCCUCCACGACGCCUCCGCGGACCGCAAGCGGACCUGCCGGGAGCGGAAGCCGCGCCCCGACAAGAAGAAAAAGAAGCCCUCCGCCGCCGGCGAUGACGCCGCCACCGCCUCCGGCCGGGGCGGCGUGGUCAUGACGGCGCCGCCGGCCAGCGGCCGGGCCACCCCGGACAGCCCCGGCCGGGGCCUCAAGCGCAAGGUCGGCUGCAUCGAGUCCGCCACGCGCAUAGGCCGCAAGAAGCGCCUCGAGACCGAGUACGAGCUCGGCGACGAGAUCGGCCAGGGCAAGUUCGGCUCCGUCCGGAUCUGCCGCGCCAAGGCCGGCGGCGAGGAGUUCGCCUGCAAGGCGCUCCCCAAGAACGGCGAGGAGACGGUCCACCGCGAGGUCGAGAUCAUGCAGCACCUCUCCGGCCACCCCGGCGUCGUCACGCUCAAGGCCGUCUUCGAGGACGCCGACAAGUUCUACCUCGUCAUGGAGCUCUGCAGCGGCGGCCGCUUGCUCGACGAGAUGGCCAGGGACGGCACCUUCUCCGAGCAGCGAGCCGCCCUCGUCAUCAAGGAUCUAAUGUCGGUCGUCAAGUACUGCCACGAAAUGGGCGUCAUCCACAGGGACAUUAAGCCGGAGAAUAUUUUGCUCACCAAGACUGGCAAGAUGAAACUAGCUGAUUUUGGAUUGGCAGCACGAGUUACUAACGGUCAGAAAUUGUCUGGCGUUGCUGGGAGCCCAGCCUAUGUGGCGCCUGAGGUGUUGUCAGGAAGCUAUUCUGAGAAAGUAGACAUAUGGGGUGCUGGGGUGCUCCUCCAUGUACUACUGCUUGGUUCACUUCCAUUUCAAGGGGGCUCUCUGGAAGCUGUCUUUGAAGCUAUAAAGACAGUUGAGCUUGAUUUCAACAGCGGUCCAUGGGAAUCAAUGUCAGUUCUUGGACGGGAUCUUAUAAGUCGAAUGUUGGAUCGAGAUGUCUCUUCUAGAAUGACUGCUGAUCAAGUUCUUUGUCAUCCAUGGGUGUUGUUUUACACGGAAUGUACCCUGAAGGCUGUAACUCCUAAUGUCACUAACCAGAUUGUAGCACCCAAAAUUCCAUGGGACAGAAUUAGAUCACAUUCUGAGUCGUCAGCUUCAGAUUCGUCGAGCCAGAGGUCGGAGGACCAGGAUGAAUGUGGCAUAGUCGACGCACUGACUGCGGCAAUAACACAUGUUAGAAUAUCGGAGCCGAAAAGAACCCGGCUUUGCAGCCCUGGCAUUCCCAUACAGCAGGAAUGCUCCUCAAACUUAAAGAGCAACCUGUGCACGGCGUUCUGA